GGCGGGGGGGAGGGGUCCCUCAGCCCAGAUUGCAAGAGGGCACAGGCCAGGCCGAGGGACCCCACUGGUGCACG
rnacentral:pre_miRNA from 1 species